GAAGGGGGCGAGCGUUGUUCGGAUUUACUGGGCGUAAAGGGCGCGCAGGCGGCGGACCAAGUCAGGCGUGAAAGCCCCGGGCUUAACCUGGGAGGUGCGUCUGGGACUGGUAUGCUAGAGUUCGGGAGAGGAGCGUGGAAUUCCCAGUGUAGAGGUGAAAUUCGUAGAUAUUGGGAAGAACACCGGUGGCGAAGGCGGCGCUCUGGACCGAGACUGACGCUGAGGCGCGAAAGCGUGGGGAGCAAACAGGAUUAGAUACCCUGGUAGUCCACGCCGUAAACGAUGUGUGCUAGACGUUGGGGAGCCUAGCUCUUCGGUGUCGCAGCUAACGCUUUAAGCACACCGCCUGGGGAGUACGGCCGCAAGGUUA
rnacentral:rRNA from 1 species